ACCCCUUCCUAUACUA
rnacentral:tRNA from 2 species